GUGAAGAACGCAGCGAAAUGCGAUACGUAAUGUGAAUUGCAGAAUUCAGUGAAUCAUCGAGUCUUUGAACGCACAUUGCGCCCCCUGGUAUUCCGGGGGGCAUGCCUGUCCGAGCGUCAUUGCUGCCCUCAAGCACGGCUUGUGUGUUGGGCCUCCGUCCUCCUCCCGGGGGACGGGCCCGAAAGGCAGCGGCGGCACCGCGUCCGGUCCUCGAGCGUAUGGGGCUUCGUCACCCGCUCUUGUAGGCCCGGCCGGCGCUUGCCGACACAUCAAUCUUUUUUCCAGGUUGACCUCGGAUCAGGUAGGGAUACCCGCUGAACUUAAGCAUAUCAAUAAGCGGAGGA
rnacentral:misc_RNA from 1 species